CAGAAACUAGCCAGGUGUUCUCAAACCCCGUUCCUCUUUUCUUCCUGCACACUUGGUUAGAAUACAUUUCUCACCCUCUCUUUCAGUUAGGUGAAUAGACAUGACUGAGUUCAAGUAAAAGGAGUGUGAGUUAAAAUGACACAAACCACUACACAGCAUCCUGCAUGCAGCCCUUCAUGCUGUUUUUCUUUAACAAGCUUAGCAGAGAUAAGCAUAGAAAUGUUAGAAGCAAGAGUCGAAGAUGGCUGAGCCUCAAGAAGGAAGGAGGCUAUGGCUUUAUGGAGGAGAGCUGCCUGAAUUUCAUUUGUCCUGAGAGAGUGGAGGAACUGGAGAUAGGACUACAGGGAGAAAAAAAUCUUACCACAAGAAUCGGCUGCUCUGCCUUCCAGUUCACUUUCAAACCCUUUCAAAUACAUCAAUAUCUUCCUGACCAUAUCAAUAUUAUUUUUAGAAGUUAGACAAUGAACUUGAAUUUUCUGCAGAUGGUGACGAAUUCCAGUUAUGAAAUGCAGUCUCUAUGGAGUUGCCAAUUCUUCUGUUUUGUUACUGUCUUUUGGGCUCAAGUCAUUAAAAUUGUGUAAUUCUAUGCCUUUAAAAGUAUGAAGAUAUUUUUAUUUAUAUAAAUUAAGUUAUACAAAAACUGGACAAGUUGAUAAUUAUUUACUAUCUCUUUGUCAAGUUUAAUUUUAUUUUUCUCAUGUCUCAAGCUAUUUCUCUUUUUCUUUUCUAAGGCUUUGUUAAAAUUAGAAGCUGGGAAAAAUAAUUUUCAGUUGGCCUUUGGAAGUAUAUAAUGUGAAAAAUUUAUCUUCUUAAUUGAAUUGCACACUUAUGAUAUGUGUGCUUUUCUGUUUCUACAUUUCAUUUUAAAAGUUAAAAGAAAUGUAACCUUAAUAGAGUAGUUUCAAGUAUAUCUACAUAUAAGGAUUAUCUGUGCUUUUUCAAAAUUCGAGACAGAGUCUUGCUCUAUUGCCCAGGCUGGAGUGCAGUGGCACUAUUAUAACACACUGCAGGCUUGAACUCCUGGGCCCAGGUGAUCCUCUGGCCCCAGCUUUCCAAAGUGCUGGGAUUACAGGCGUGAGCCACCAUGCCUCAUUCUAGUUGUACAUUUUUGCUUUAUUUUAUUUUUAUACAAUUUCCUCGACCAUAGUCUGGGAAACUGAUUCAGAAGGUCUAGGGUAGAGUCAGAUUAUUUGAAAUUAUUUUUAAGAAGAUCUCCAGGUGAUUUUGAUCACCUCCCAGAUUUGAAACAACUCUAACACACAGAGAUGAAACAGAGGGAAAAACUUACAUACCCACAAACCAGAAGGGUUCAGUAAUUAAUAUGGAUCAUUUACAUUGCAGUUUAUUGAUUUGAUUAUUGCAUUUCUCAAUAAAUAAAAAGUCAUGCCAAUGAGGUAACUAUGAGCAGAACAAAUGAAUUGUGGGGUGCAUGUAUAAUGGAAUACACUAUUCCAUCAAUAUUGAAUGAACUAGAUGGAAACUGAAUGGAUCUCACCAAUAUAUUUAGCAAACAGAAAAAAAAUUGCAGAAACAUAUAUAUAGUGUGAUACGUGUAAACAGAAGUUGAAGGGCAAAAUAUACCAUAUAUUACUUAAGUAUAUAUCAAUGAACACACAGGAAUUUUAAAAAUACCAAAUUCAAUAUAGUCUUUACCUCUGGUGGAGAGAAGAGGAGAGAUACUCAAGAUCAACCUUGGUAAUGUUGAUUUCUUUUUUUAGUGGUGAGGGUAAAAUUUUUUUGUUUUAAUAGGAGCCUUACUACCAUUUGUAUCUGAAAUAUUUCAUAAGAAAUAAAGUUUGUUGGUUAUGGAAAUAGCCUGAUUUUCAUUUUCAUACAUGCAGAGGAGAGUAAAGGGAGCAGGCGUUUUAUGUAUCUUCAAUACAAUAAGUUUAAAAUGUCAGAAAUCUGUUGACUCGUUUUUGAAAGAAUUGAGAAAAUAAAAGGUAGAAAGUAGUGAAGAAAGUUUCUCUAAGAUUGCCUUAAAUGCCUUGAAUUGUCUCUCAUCUCAUGGAUGCCAUGAGGGAGGUUUACUCAUUUAAAAUAGUAAGUGAGGCAUGCAAAAUAAAGGAAAAAGUUCUGUAUCUAUGUUCUUUAUUAGUUUCCAAUGUCAUCAUUUACUUUGUUAAAUUAAUUCACGUUACUUUAGUCUAAAAACCACUAAUGAAAAAAUCCAUUUGGAUUCAUAGAUUAGGCAUGUGACAGGUAAGAUUUGAACUUACAUGUACCAUGCUUCCCUUCCAUCCUCAAUAUUUUUUUUAAAAAGCACACAAAUGCAUGAGAGUGGUUGCAGAUUACUUUCUGAAAGGAAGGAAGCUUUUGUUCUUCAUUUUGAUUUUAGAGGAGUUAUUUAAAAGCCCAGUUAUACUCUUUACUUGCAAACAUUUUUGGCUAUUUGUGAAAGUUCACCUCCAAGGAAAUCUAAUCAGCCAGACAAGUUAUUGUUUCAUUUUAGCCUGAAAAAAAAAAUCACACAUAUAUAAAAUUACACACACACACACACUUUUAUUUUAAAGAUAGGAGGUCUAAAGAAUAUAAAAUAUGGCAAUGUGUUUCUAAUGUGUUUGAAAUGAUCAUAGCAAAUAGUGAAUUGCCACUAAAUUAUCAACAAAUUAUUUGCAUUUGACUUUUGCGUCAGUUUCUAAUUAUCAUAUAACUUGAAACAUAAACAUUGGUUAAUACUCUUUUGC
rnacentral:lncRNA from 10 species